rnacentral:rRNA from 1 species
AUUGAACGCUAGCGGGAUGCCUUACACAUGCAAGUCGAACGGAGUUGCGAACGGGUGAGUAAUGUAUCGGAACGUGCCCAGUAGCGGGGGAUAACUACGCGAAAGCGUAGCUAAUACCGCAUACUUGUGGUGCGGCAGAUAUCGGAUUAGCUAGUUGGUGGGGUAAUGGCUCACCAAGGAGACGAUGCGUAGCUGGUUCGAGAGGACGACCAGCCAAACUGGGACUGAGACACGGCCCAGACUCCUACGGGAGGCAGCAGGGGGGAAUUUUGGACAAUGGGGGAAACCCUGAUCCAGCCAUCCCGCGUGUGCGAUGAAGGCCUUCGGGUUGUAAAGCACUUUUGGCAGGGAAGCGGUACCUGCAGAGUAAGCACCGGCUAACUACGUGCCAGCAGCCGCGGUAAUAC